AGAGUUUGAUCCUGGCUCAGGACGAACGCUGGCGGCGCGCCUAACACAUGCAAGUCGAACGGAGUUGUGUUGAAAGCUUGCUGGAUAUACAACUUAGUGGCGGACGGGUGAGUAACACGUGAGUAACCUGCCUCUCAGAGUGGAAUAACGUUUGGAAACGAACGCUAAUACCGCAUAACGUGAGAAGAGGGCAUCCUCUUUUUACCAAAGAUUUAUCGCUGAGAGAUGGGCUCGCGGCCGAUUAGGUAGUUGGUGAGAUAACAGCCCACCAAGCCGACGAUCGGUAGCCGGACUGAGAGGUUGAUCGGCCACAUUGGGACUGAGACACGGCCCAGACUCCUACGGGAGGCAGCAGUGGGGGAUAUUGCACAAUGGGGGAAACCCUGAUGCAGCGACGCCGCGUGAGGGAAGACGGUUUUCGGAUUGUAAACCUCUGUCUUUAGGGACGAAAAAAUGACGGUACCUAAGGAGGAAGCCACGGCUAACUACGUGCCAGCAGCCGCGGUAAUACGUAGGUGGCAAGCGUUGUCCGGAAUUACUGGGUGUAAAGGGAGCGUAGGCGGGGAGACAAGUUGAAUGUCUAAACUAUCGGCUUAACUGAUAGUCGCGUUCAAAACUAUCACUCUUGAGUGCAGUAGAGGUAGGCGGAAUUCCUAGUGUAGCGGUGAAAUGCGUAGAUAUUAGGAGGAACACCAGUGGCGAAGGCGGCCUACUGGGCUGUAACUGACGCUGAGGCUCGAAAGCGUGGGUAGCAAACAGGAUUAGAUACCCUGGUAGUCCACGCCGUAAACGAUGAUUA
rnacentral:rRNA from 1 species